CCUGGGUGACGGAGCAAGACCAUCUUAAAAAAAAAAAAAAAAGAUAGAACAGGAGACUGGCCAAGACUCAGUGAGGAUCUGUUUGUCUCAUUUCCAAAGGUGUCCUGGAGAACCAACGUUAGUGCAGUCAAUAGUGGUCAGUGUGGAGUCGCAAAACACAAACUCCAGCUGUUGGAAGCCUGGCCUCUAGAAGGGGUCCACUUCCUCCAAAGGCACCUGCUUCAAAUGUCCCCCCUGCUAAACCAGAAUCAUUGCUGUUAGGAUGACCGUUCUAUUUCAGAAGGAACUAGAGGACUCUGCAGAGAUGGUGGCGGAGGCGAGAUCUAUGUCUGGAAGGGCCAUGUAUAAAAAACAGGGACCUGCCGUGUUUCUGCUCCUUACCACUUCUGAGUUGUCCGAUUUUACAGAAGAGGACUUGAAAGAUGUAAGACAUGGCCAAUAACUCAUCAUCUGCCUCUGCUCCAAAACCACAUUCUACUAAAAAAAGGAAAAUCUACCCUGGAGGUCAAUUUGCCAUGACAAAGUUGCUCUGUAAGAAACUCCCAGGACGCAUGCUCAGACUCAGGGGCCUGUGCAGGGAUGGGCCAGCCUGAAGCAGACGGGCUGCAGCCCCGCAGGGUCCCUUCUUCAGCAAGGAGGACAGCGUGACAGCUGGGUCGUCUUCGCAGGACUGAAUGUGCCCUGUUGCAGAUCAUGAGAACUGAAUGGUUCUGAGGGUGAGGAUCAAGAGCCAGCCCAUGAACCCCUGAUUCGGCGCGUGAAGCUUGUACUCUGGCAGAACGUCCAGCCUGGCGUCUGAGGCAGCACUUAUCUGGAGCCUCUUGUAUGAGGAGGAUCUCAAAAGAACCAGGGGGGAGCCCUGGGAGAGGAACCUGGGGCCAGCUGUGGACACAGACAUGGAUUCGAGACGGUGUCAGGCCAGCCUAAGAAAUAGCAGGAAACCUGGCAUGGCGUAGGGUGGGGCUCUAGGUGCCUGAUGCAAGUGGGAUGGAGGGAGUGCAUCGUGGUGACUGCAGAGUCCUCAAAGCCACUGUUACCCUCACCUCCACCUCCUGUCAGCUUGUGACCUUGGUAGCACAGAGAAGUGCAUGUUUCUUGACAACCCAGUCUAGUCAUACGGCAAAAUAAAUGAAAAAACAGAACCCAUGUCCAAUUCUGGAGGCUGGGAAGUCCAUGAUUAAGUGCUGGCAGAUUCAGUGUCUGGUGAGGGCUGCUUCCUGGUUCGUAGACGUGCCUUCUUGCUGAGAUCUCAGAUGGUGGGCGGGGCUUGGCAGCUCUGGAGCCUCUUAUAAGGGCACUAAUCCCAUUCAUAAAGGCAUCAUCCUCAUGACCUGAUCACCUCUCAAAAAUCCCACCUCCUAACACUAUCACCUCUGAGGUUAUGGAUUUUGUUGGAGACAGAAACAUUCAGACCAUAGUGGUACUCGAUAAAAUGUUUAUUAAUAUGUAUUAAUUCUGGGAGUCAAGCAAACCUAAUGAAUUGAUCACUGGGAUUUUGGCACCACAAUCAGAUAAACAAUCUAAAAAUA